GCAGUCGAACGGUGAAGCCAAGCUUGCUUGGUGGAUCAGUGGCGAACGGGUGAGUAACACGUGAGCAACCUGCCCUGGACUCUGGGAUAAGCGCUGGAAACGGCGUCUAAUACUGGAUAUGAGACGUGAUCGCAUGGUCGUGUUUGGAAAGAUUUUUCGGUCUGGGAUGGGCUCGCGGCCUAUCAGCUUGUUGGUGAGGUAAUGGCUCACCAAGGCGUCGACGGGUAGCCGGCCUGAGAGGGUGACCGGCCACACUGGGACUGAGACACGGCCCAGACUCCUACGGGAGGCAGCAGUGGGGAAUAUUGCACAAUGGGCGGAAGCCUGAUGCAGCAACGCCGCGUGAGGGAUGACGGCCUUCGGGUUGUAAACCUCUUUUAGCAGGGAAGAAGCGAAAGUGACGGUACCUGCAGAAAAAGCGCCGGCUAACUACGUGCCAGCAGCCGCGGUAAUACGUAGGGCGCAAGCGUUAUCCGGAAUUAUUGGGCGUAAAGAGCUCGUAGGCGGUUUGUCGCGUCUGCUGUGAAAUCCCGAGGCUCAACCUCGGGUCUGCAGUGGGUACGGGCAGACUAGAGUGCGGUAGGGGAGAUUGGAAUUCCUGGUGUAGCGGUGGAAUGCGCAGAUAUCAGGAGGAACACCGAUGGCGAAGGCAGAUCUCUGGGCCGUAACUGACGCUGAGGAGCGAAAGGGUGGGGAGCAAACAGGCUUAGAUACCCUGGUAGUCCACCCCGUAAACGUUGGGAACUAGUUGUGGGGACCAUUCCACGGUUUCCGUGACGCAGCUAACGCAUUAAGUUCCCCGCCUGGGGAGUACGGCCGCAAGGCUAAAACUCAAAGGAAUUGACGGGGACCCGCACAAGCGGCGGAGCAUGCGGAUUAAUUCGAUGCAACGCGAAGAACCUUACCAAGGCUUGACAUAUACGAGAACGGGCCAGAAAUGGUCAACUCUUUGGACACUCGUAAACAGGUGGUGCAUGGUUGUCGUCAGCUCGUGUCGUGAGAUGUUGGGUUAAGUCCCGCAACGAGCGCAACCCUCGUUCUAUGUUGCCAGCACGUAAUGGUGGGAACUCAUGGGAUACUGCCGGGGUCAACUCGGAGGAAGGUGGGGAUGACGUCAAAUCAUCAUGCCCCUUAUGUCUUGGGCUUCACGCAUGCUACAAUGGCCGGUACAAAGGGCUGCAAUACCGUGAGGUGGAGCGAAUCCCAAAAAGCCGGUCCCAGUUCGGAUUGAGGUCUGCAACUCGACCUCAUGAAGUCGGAGUCGCUAGUAAUCGCAGAUCAGCAACGCUGCGGUGAAUACGUUCCCGGGUCUUGUACACACCGCCCGUCAAGUCAUGAAAGUCGGUAACACCUGAAGCCGGUGGCCCAACCCUUGUGGA
rnacentral:rRNA from 1 species